rnacentral:rRNA from 1 species
CCUACGGGGGGCAGCAGUGGGGGAUAUUGCACAAUGGGCGAAAGCCUGAUGCAGCGACGCCGCGUGAGGGAAGACGGUCUUCGGAUUGUAAACCUCUGUCUUUGGGGAAGAAGAUGACGGUACCCAAAGAGGAAGCUCCGGCUAACUACGUGCCAGCAGCCGCGGUAAUACGUAGGGGGCCAGGGUUGUACGGAAUUACGGGGGGUUAAGGGAGCGUAGGAGCGGUUGCAAGUUGGAGGUUUAACCUAUCGGCUAAACCGGUGAUUGCAACGAAAACUGCAACUCUUGAGUGAAGUAGAGGCAGGCGGAAUUCCUAGUGUAGCGGUGAAAUGCGUAGAUAUUAGGAGGAACACCAGUGGCGAAGGCGGCCUGCUGGGCUUUAACUGACGCUGAGGCUCGAAAGCGUGGGGAGCAAACAGGAUUAGAUACCCUAGUAGUC